rnacentral:lncRNA from 1 species
AGUGGCUGAAUGCGGAGAGUUUGGAGUUGCUUGCGGCGGAGGGCAGGCAGGGGAGCAGGGCCGGGGCGGGGGGCUGGCGGGCGCUGUAUCUGGGAGUAAGUUUCCAGGAUCGGGAGAGCCUGCACGCUUGCUCGCUACUCUGCUCGCCCCCCGGCCCACCCCCCAAGAGGAGACUGGUCUUGUGGUCGGAUUGCCCAUGCACUUGUUGCAGAAACAGCCAAGGUUUGCAUCUGAAACGUGAGAGAAAAGGAACAGGUGACAGUUGUUGGAAUGGAGUGGGUUCACCCCCAACAGCCCAGCUUUGUUAAGGUAGACUUCAUUCAUCCAAGGUGAUGGUUUCUUGAGUGUGGGUGGUUUUGCUUGGUGGAUAUCUGGAGACAUCUUUGGCCGCCAUGCCUGGAGGUGGUGUGGAGGGCGUGCGGGUGGUAUUGGCAGCCAGUGGGUAGAGGCCAGGGAUACUGCUGAAUCUCCUGUGUAUGCGAGGAUCCUGCAGAAAGUUCAUGGGAAAAUGGGAUUAAAAGAUAAAUUUAUUUUUGAUGCAAAAGAGCCCACCAAAAGGUGUUUGGCCUAGUAGCUAAGACACCACCUGAGACACUCACAUGCUGUAUCAGGCUGCCUGGGUUUGGGUCCUGGCUUCGCUCCUGAGUGCAGCUUCCUGCCACUGCAGACUGUAGGAGGCAGCAGGUGGUGGCUUAAGGACUUCAGCUCCUGCUCCCCACAGGAGAGCCAUGGUUGGGUUCUGGGCUCCUGACUUCAGCCGGGCUCAACCCUGGCAGUUGGCAGCAUUUAGGGAGUGAAUCAGCAGAUGGAACUCUGUCUCACAAUUCAUUGAUUAAUGCAUUUAAAAAAUGAAACUCAAGACAGUUGUUAAUGAUGACCAAAUAAAAUUUUUAAACAUUUAGUUUUAUUAUCGAAA